rnacentral:lncRNA from 1 species
CUAAUUUUAAUUCCAAAUUAAAGUUUUGACCCCAAUUUUACUGUGCACUGAACAUAGAAAAUGAUAGUGCGAUGUACUAUGGGCACAUUCUUGUUCAGUUGUAUUUUCAAAUUGAUCCCUUAUCAACUUCCUGUUGAGCAAACUCUCACCUAUGCAUAUUCUUUCACGUGUACAGGCCAUAUAUUACAUGUUCAUCAAAUUUUUCUCAGGAACUACAAAUUUUCUGAAAUUUGGAAUCUAGCUUCAUGUGAGCAUCCUGUACUAUGUGAUGCUUUUCUCAUCAGAUGCUUGAUACCGACCACUUGUAUCAGGCAACAUGGGGUCAAUUACAUUGAAGUAAUAAUUACAUUCAAUUAAAUUCAAAAUCUUCAAUUAAUAACAUUAUUGACUUUUUUCCAUAAUUAAUACAUCAAUUACUUGGCAAAUGUAAUUAAUUACUUCAAUUACAUUUGAAAGGAAAUUUUCGAAGAUAAAUGCUUUGCUAGGCACUUGAUACUUAGUGUCAGCUUUUCAUCAGUUUUUAAAGUCUCCUUUCGACAAUAGAAGUGGUAAAAAUCCCAGCUUGGAAUAUAUAAGCUUUGCAUUUCUACUGUUUGGAUCAGACGGUGAAAUUUACCUUUUUAAUGCAUUGUUCAAUGUUGUUGAACUUCUUUAUCUCAGAAUGCAUAAUGUAACAAAUUCUCUGUGUUUCUCUGAAAAUUAAAAAGGCCUUAUUUAAUAUUGAAAUAUUAAAUGUUUUAAUUACCUAUUGAAAUUUUACAUUUAUUUCAAUUUAAUUGAUUGAAAUGAUACAAAAAAGAGCACUAUUUUUUAUUUUUGAAAUGAUUUCAUUCCUUAUCCCACUUAUUCAAAUAUUUAUCUUGAAUAAGGAUUUAGAAAUCUGACUUUUAAACAAAAAUAAACUUAGUUUUAAUCAGACUAAUUAAGUUAAUAAACAAAAUUUUUCCAAUUUAAAUGUAAGCUAUUAGAGGAUAUAAGAUAAAUGAAAUCUGAUUAGAAAUGAAAAAGAAGCAUUAUGAAUUUAUUAAUUUUAAAAUUCUUAUAAGUAUUACCUUCAUAUGUGUAACAAGUUGGAUGUAACUUUAUAACUUCCACAAUGAGGGUGCCACAUGCAUACACUUCCUUUGAAAGUUUUCCAUUUGGAAUCACAGAACAGUAAAUGUCAGUACACUCUUGGAGCUCAUUUUUAAUCUGAAAAUGUUUUCUUUCAACAUCAUAUAUAUGUGAACAAAUUUUGCAAGUGAAUUUUGUCAUAUGCAUAUCCUUCAGAAUUUACAUUACCUAUGGCCCUAGGGUAUAUUUUCUCUCCUAUAGCCUUAUAUCUGUUUAACAUAACGUUAUAAAAACAGUCAUAUAUAGUUUGUAUAAAAAAUCCCAGAGGUUAUAUUAUUGUAUUUAGUCAUUGAAUAAAUAACUAUGUUAAUAUGUCAAAAAAUCAUCAAAAUCUACUAAUUAAGGUCAAGACAGAUCUCAAUGAGUUCUUUAAAUUAUGGCAUGUGUCUACAUCUUUUUAUCAUUAAUACUAAAAUGAAUCUACCAUGUUGUGUUAAAGGUGUCAGACCACAAUAAAAAUCUAUCUGUUCAACCAAAUUUUGCAAUUUUCACAGCUUCUAAUUUUACCUUAAGUUUAACUUCAAGGAAACCAGGUAUAUCCUGAAUGUACAUGUAUCACCUUCCACAUGCCAAUUUUCAACCAAUGUUUAAAGUCUUGUAACAAAUUUCUGAUUUGAAAAGACAGGUACUACCAAAAUAACUCCCGUUUCUGGAAAUUUAAAUAGUGUACUAUGUAGCGAUUUAUCCUGAAUUUUUAAUGCAAACUCAUAGACGUGAAAUUUGGCUCAAAAGGUCUAAAUAUAUUCCCUUUCACCAAAAGUUUCAUUUCUGCAAUUUGUUGGUUAUUUAAGUAAACAUGACAUCAAAGCACUUUUGUGUCAAAGUAGGACUAUUUACAUACGUUCUAAAUUGGAGGAGAAUUGGUGGUCUGACACCCAGAGCCAAAAAAGUUACUCAGACAAUCUUGCUUUGCUUAUUCUUAAAUCCUAUAGUCAAUUUGAAGUCAGAAACAUCCUACUGAGCAUAAUGUGACUUAUAUUAAAUUUUCACAGCUCAAUUUAAACUGAUGUAUGUAUGACCUUGAUAGAAAACUUGAAAAUUCAUUUUGGAUACAGGAACAUAAACUUUCAAUAUCAGAUCAGUUUGUUGAUUUUUUCUUGUUUGUUCUACUUCUAAAGACUUCCACAAUUUUUACAAUGGGUUAAGUAAAAAAUUCAAGGUAUUGAGAGUCAAGGAAUAUUGACCCCCCUUUUUUACACCUGGUGUAAGUAAUGGACUAUUAAAUGAUCAAAGUGCAGUCAUGGUCAUUUAAAUGUUUUUAUUUCUAUCAGUAAUACAACUUAAGGCAUAAAACUCAUUUGAGAUAAAAAUUUUUUUGUGAGUUUUUGCAAUGUUACAUCAGAGCUAUGUUAUCUGCCAAUACAUGAUAUGACGCAAUGAAUAGGGAUAAAAUAAAUAAUUUCAUUAAAUCUUGAUGACAAGAACUUUUUUGGUGGUAAAAUACCUUUUUAAUUUAUACCACAGAAACAUCUUGCUGUGCAUUUAUAACAAUUGGGACAUUUUUAUGUGAAAGCAAUUGUCAGGGGAAAGCUAAAAAUAGCACAAAUUCAGGUCAGCCUAAAUUUGCAAUAUGUGACUUUUGCCCCCAAAAAGAUUGAAUGUGACUACUAUCACUUCAUAUGAUCAGUUAAGUAAAAAAAAUCAAUCGUUUCUAAAUUUCACCGCAUUUCCUUAAAGUGUCAGACCACAAUUAAAAUCCUAUCUGUUCAACCAAAUUUUGCAAUUUUCACACUUUCAAAUAUUUUACCUUAAGUUUAACCAAGGAAACCAGGUAUAUCCUGAAUUGUACAUGUAUCACCUUCCUAUAUCACAAUUUUCAACCAAUGUUUAAAGUCUUGAACAAAUUUCUGAUUUGAAACAGACAGUACUACCAUAACUCCGGUUUUCUGAAUCUUAAUAGUGUACUAUGUAGCGCAUUAAUCCUGAAUUUUUAAUGCAACUAUAGACAAGUGAAUUUGGCUCAAAAUGGUCUAAUAUAUUUCCUUUCACCAAAGUUUCAUUUCUGCAAAUUUGUUGGUUAUUUUAAGUAAACAAUGACAUCAAAAGCACUAUUUUGUGUCAAAGUAGGACUACUUUUACGUUCUAAAUUGGAGGGAGUAAUUGGUGGUCUGACACCUUAAUACAGAAGAUAACUGUGAAGGCUUUUCUUUGUCAUUACAACAUUGUUAAGUUAUGCUUUUAAUAAUUUUUGAGAAACACAAGAUUUAAUCUUUUGAUCCAAAAUUUCAAAUGUAAUUGACUUGUAAAUGAAAAGUAAUUGUCAAUUAGGCAAUUUUGGCUAGUAUUAAUUACUUCAAUUACAUGUAAUUAAAUCUCAAUUACACAUUACAUUCAAUUAUGAUAAUUGUAAUUAACAGUCAAUUACAAUUACAUAUUUCAAUUACCCCAUGUCUGUAUCAGGGGUAUUAUCAGUGACUUAUAAUGAGCAUAUUUUGGGAAUCAACACAGCAUAAAAAGGAAGUAAGAUCGGUUGGAUUAAAGACAUAUAUAAAAUCUACGAAGAAGCUUAUCACCAUAAAAUCCUCAAAAUAUCUUAGAAUGAAAAGACAAGAUGAUUUGUUUAUAAAGUACUUCUUAAAUUCUAUUAAUUUCCCCUGGUAGUGAAAAGUUAAGUUUUCCAAAGACCAAAAAAAGGUACCAAUUAGAAAAAUAUCAUUCAAAAUUUGAAAUUAUUUCGCUUUUAUUUUUUAUAACAUCAGUCAGAUGGUUGACUGUUUUAGCAACAAUGUAUUUAUAAUGUAAAAAAAUACUUGACAACC